AUCUACAGCCAUGCUGCCUUGAACAAGCCUGAUCCUGUCUGAUUUCGGAAGCUAAGCAGGGUCGGGCCUGGUUAGUACAUGGAUGGGAGACCACCUAGGAAGAUCGGGUGCUGUAUGUG
rnacentral:rRNA from 1 species